rnacentral:rRNA from 1 species
UACGGAGGGGGCUAGCGUUGUUCGGAAUUACUAGGCGUAAAGCGCGCGUAGGCGGACCUGCAAGUCGGGGGUGAAAGCCCGAGGCUCAACCUCGGAACUGCCUUCGAUACUGCGGGUCUCGAGUCCGAGAGAGGUGAGUGGAAUUCCUAGUGUAGAGGUGAAAUUCGUAGAUAUUAGGAAGAACACCAGUGGCGAAGGCGGCUCACUGGCUCGGUACUGACGCUGAGGCGCGAAAGCGUGGGGAGCUAACAGG